rnacentral:tRNA from 1 species
GGAGAGAUGGCCGAGUGGUUGAAGGCGCACGCCUGGAACGCGUGUAGACGUCACAAGCGUCUCGAGAGUUCGAAUCUCUCUCUCUCCGCCA